rnacentral:rRNA from 1 species
GUGCCAGCAGCCGCGGUAAGACGAACCGAGCAAGCGUUAUUCGGAAUUACUGGGCUUAAAGAGUCCGUAGGCGGCGCGUUAGGUGGGGUGUGAAAUCCCUCGGCCCAACCGAGGAAUGGCGCUCCAAACCGGCGUGCUUGAGGAAGGUAGAGGUGAGCGGAACUGAUGGUGGAGCGGUGAAAUGCGUUGAUAUCAUCAGGAACACCGGAGGCGAAGGCGGCUCACUGGGCCUUUUCUGACGCUGAGGGACGAAAGCCAGGGUAGCGAACGGGAUUAGAUACCCGUGUAGUCC